rnacentral:rRNA from 1 species
UCCGAGCGUUAUCCGGAUUUACUUGGGCGUAAAGGGUGCGUAGGUGGUUUCUUAAGUCAGGAGUGAAAGGCUACGGCUCAACCGUAGUAAGCUCUUGAAACUGGGAAACUUGAGUGCAGGAGAGGAAAGUGGAAUUCCUAGUGUAGCGGUGAAAUGCGUAGAUAUUAGGAGGAACACCAGUAGCGAAGGCGGCUUUCUGGACUGUAACUGACACUGAGGCACGAAAGCGUGGGGAGC